GCCUGGUGAUGAGCUUGCGAGCCGGCGGACUCAUAAUCCGUUGGUCGCUGGUUCGAGUCCAGCCGGCCCCA
rnacentral:tRNA from 1 species